rfam:Picea glauca, whole genome shotgun sequence.
GCAUGCCUAUGCAAUAGCAUUAAUGCAUCGGAUCCCAUUAGAACUCCGAAGUUGAGUGUGCUCGGGCUAGAUUAGUAUUGGAAUGGGUGACUGCCUAAGAAGUCCUAGUGUUUUACAUGCC